rnacentral:SRP_RNA from 1 species
ACGGGGACUAGCCCGGGUGGUUCGGCGUCACCUGUAACCUGAAACCGCCGUAACGCGGGGGGCGAAGUCUGAAGAAGGCCGCGAGCGGCCUGCAGAAUCCACUGUGUCCCAACGGAGAAGCCUCGUCCCAUGAGGUCGGCGGAGAGGGAUCAAAGUCCCGGAGGGGGCAGCGACCUCUUGCCGCGGGCACCGGUUCAGGCCCGGAAGGGAGCAGACUUACCGUGGACGUUCGGCGCCCAUGGGGUUGCGGGGUGGAGGAGGGGUGCUGUGGUGAAUGCUUGUGCGCACGGUCGACCGAGGACGUGUCCCCAA